rnacentral:tRNA from 1 species
UUAUUCAACUAUAGAAACAUCUA